AGUGAACGCUGGCGGUAGGCCUAACACAUGCAAGUCGAACGGCAGCACAGUAAGGGCUUGCUCUUACGGGUGGCGAGUGGCGGACGGGUGAGGAAUACAUCGGAAUCUACUUUUUCGUGGGGGAUAACGUAGGGAAACUUACGCUAAUACCGCAUACGACCUACGGGUGAAAGCAGGGGAUCUUCGGACCUUGCGCGAUUGAAUGAGCCGAUGUCGGAUUAGCUAGUUGGCGGGGUAAAGGCCCACCAAGGCGACGAUCCGUAGCUGGUCUGAGAGGAUGUUCAGCCACACUGGAACUGAGACACGGUCCAGACUCCUACGGGAGGCAGCAGUGGGGAAUAUUGGACAAUGGGCGCAAGCCUGAUCCAGCCAUACCGCGUGGGUGAAGAAGGCCUUCGGGUUGUAAAGCCCUUUUGUUGGGAAAGAAAAGCAGCAGGUUAAUACCCCGCUGUUCUGACGGUACCCAAAGAAUAAGCACCGGCUAACUUCGUG
rnacentral:rRNA from 1 species